rnacentral:rRNA from 1 species
AUUGAACGCUGGCGGAAUGCUUUACACAUGCAAGUCGAGCGGCAGCGCGGGGCAACCUGGCGGCGAGCGGCGAACGGGUGAGUAAUGCAUCGGAACAUGUCCAUGUCGUGGGGGAUAGCCCGGCGAAAGCCGGAUUAAUACCGCAUACGCUCGAGAGAGGAAAGCCGGGGACCGCAAGGCCUGGCGCGAUUGGGUUGGCCGAUGUCCGAUUAGCGAGGUGGUGAGGUAAAGGCUUACCAAGGCGAUGAUCGGUAGCUGGUCUGAGAGUAUGAUCAGCCACACUGGGACUGAGACACGGCCCAGACUCCUACGGGAGGCAGCAGUGGGGAAUUUUGGACAAUGGGGGCAACCCUGAUCCAGCCAUUCCGCGUGAGUGAAGAAGGCCUUCGGGUUGUAAAGCUCUUUUGUCCGGAGCGAAACGGUUGCGGUGAAUAUCCGCGACUACUGACGGUACCGGAAGAAUAAGCACCGGCUAACUACGUGCCAGCAGCCGCGGUAA